UACGGAGGGGGCUAGCGUUGUUCGGAAUUACUGGGCGUAAAGCGCGCGUAGGCGGACCUGCAAGUCGGGGGUGAAAGCCCCGAGGCUCAACCUCGGAACUGCCUUCGAUACUGCGGGUCUCGAGUCCGGGAGAGGUGAGUGGGAAUUCCUAGUGUAGAGGUGAAAUUCGUAGAUAUUAGGAAGAACACCAGUGGCGAAGGCGGCUCACUGGCCCGGUACUGACGCUGAGGCGCGGAAAGCGUGGGAGCAAACAGGG
rnacentral:rRNA from 1 species